GAGUUUGAUCUUGGCUCAGAUUGAACGCUGGCGGCAUGCCUUACACAUGCAAGUCGAACGGCAGCACGGGAGCUUGCUCCUGGUGGCGAGUGGCGAACGGGUGAGUAAUGCAUCGGAACGUAUCCUGGAGUGGGGGGAUAACGUAGCGAAAGUUACGCUAAUACCGCAUAUUCUGUGAGCAGGAAAGCGGGGGACCUUCGGGCCUCGCGCUCUUGGAGCGGCCGAUGUCGGAUUAGCUAGUUGGUGAGGUAAAGGCUCACCAAGGCGACGAUCCGUAGCAGGUCUGAGAGGAUGAUCUGCCACACUGGAACUGAGACACGGUCCAGACUCCUACGGGAGGCAGCAGUGGGGAAUUUUGGACAAUGGGGGCAACCCUGAUCCAGCCAUGCCGCGUGAGUGAAGAAGGCCUCGG
rnacentral:rRNA from 1 species